rnacentral:tRNA from 1 species
GCGGAAGUGGUGGAAUUGGUAGACACGCCAUCUUGAGGGGGUGGUGACUUAGGUCGUGGGGGUUCGAGUCCCCCUUUCCGCACCA